rnacentral:tRNA from 1 species
GGGGAAAUAGCUCAGUCGGUUAGAGUGUUGGCUUGUCACGCCAAAGGUCGCGGGUUCGAGUCCCGUUUUUCUCG